rnacentral:lncRNA from 1 species
CCUCUCCUCUCCCUCCCAUUUUUGGACUGGAUGACAAAACCAUAUCUGACAGGCUGAGGCUUUUAUGCAGUAGGGCAAGAGAGUGUGUCUAUGCAUGUGUGUGUGUGUGUCUGUCUGUCUGUCUGUCUGCGAGACUGUGUCUGUGUGUUAAGCUUGAGUCUAUUGAGCCCAUUGGAUGGGACUGGGGUUUACAAAGACCAUGGGCACAUAGGAGCUUCCUCAGUAUCACAGGCUUUCACUUUUCUAGUGUUUCGGAUGGUGUCUGGGCAUUCUGAUGCUGCUGCAGGGCUUGGUGAAGUCAGAUGCUGGACUAGUCUGAGAACUCACAGUUGAAGACAUGUUCAUUAGACUGGGACGCCUGACCCCUGGAUACUUCCGUCUCCUCCAGAGACAGGUCUCAGGUGAAGUCCAGAUACAGCCGCAGAAAGGAUUCAUCAACCAGAUCGCCAUGACGAUGGCCAUGGUGGGCAUCAGUGUGUCCUUCUACAGCGCCCGGCGGAUGGCGGAGAAGGUCCAUCUAAAAGAGAAUGCUCCCUGAACAGUUGGACAGUGUGGCCCCUCAACUGGACCAGAGAGAUGGGGGAGAGAGAUGAAGAGAACCAGAGUAGGCUGCAGUGCUGCACUCCAUCACCUUGCAUUGCAGCGGUUGGCACCCACUCAAAGCUGCCAUGCCAAGAUGGUUCUGUGGGCUGAGUGUUUGAUGUUGUUGUUCGAGAGAAUGUCUGUGUUUGAUGGAAGAGGAUGGGUAUCAGGAGCGUUUUGUCUUGAGAGUGAGACCAUGCAGUCUUUAUUAAACAACUGCUGGGUUUGAAAUACGUUUAUCUUUGUAUUGUGAUGACGGGAAAAUGGAAGUGUACUGUGGGGAAAUGGAAAUGUGAAUUACCAGUACUAAUGCCCAAUAGAUUAAAAUGACCUAACAACAUUUUUACCUAAAUACAUUUUUGGAUGAUAUGAGGCGAUCUACACAUAUCUGCUUUAUUUGAAAGAUUUCACCAUGUAGGCCUAGCAUACUUACUUAGGCUCCAUACUAGAAUGUCUUUUGAACAUAGCAUGAAUGCACAUCACAAAUGUGGGACCCCAGUAAGCGUUUGGUAUUUGCUUCAGCGCUUUAUCAGUUGAACAUGGAUGCCAUGAUAAUACUGUAGCUCUGUGGUUCUGACAGAAUCGGUGGUCUCCUCAAUGUAUGCCACUUCCAAACUGACUCUUCAUGACAUUUAUAUGUAUAUUUUAUUAACAAGUAUUUUUAAUGGUUUACAUUUUUAAAUACCUAAUAAAACUCACUAUUAACUCAAAGAAGGUUCAACGAUUAUUUGGCUGUAAAGUACAUAUACAAAAAAUAAUUUAAUGUAAUAUAAUCAUCAUAGUCACUGAUUUCUUUCUGGGCUUUUUUCUGUUGAUAAAUGUGUGUAUAUGUCAGUGGUAUGUGACCUAUCAAGACUUGAGUAUUUGUCAUUCAACUCUUUGAAACAGUUAUGCAACGCCAAAGUGUUGUUGUGAAAAUCUUUCCAAUUCUAUGGGGUUAUCCAUGUGGAAGGUACAGUACAUUAGGUUAGGGAGUGAUAUGGUCACACAGCUGCACUGACUGUAUUGAGUGAUUCAUGUGAAAAUAAGAUAAAGGAGGAAAAUGUGGUUAUGACACUACAUGAAUGAGAUAUCCCAUUCAGGGUUGGAAAAUUCCAGAAACGUUCAAUACAUUCCCUGGUUUUCCCAAAAUCCUGGUUAGGAGGUUUCGGAAUUUCCUGCUUAUUCCCUUCUGAUUUUAUAGCCCUCCAACCGCGAUUUCAGGAAAACAAGGGAAUUCAUUGAACGUUCCCAGAAUUUUGCAACCCUAAUCCCAUUACAGUGAUGGGGUUUGCUGCACAUCCUACAAUGUGCCCCAAUACAAGGUUACAGGUUCCUCAUGAUCUUUAUUGCAAAAAAUCUGUGUAAAUCUGUGUCUAUUGUCCCGUGAUUCUCCGGCAUCAAAUCAAAUCAAAUGUUAUUGGUCACAUACACAUAUUUAGCAUAUGUUAUUGCGGGUGUAGCGAAAUGCUUGUGUUCUUAACUCCAACAGUGUAGUAAUAUCUAAAAAUUCCCAAUAAUACACACAAAUCUAAAAUUAAAAUAAUAGAAUUAAGAAAUAUAUCAAUAUUAGGACGAGCAAUGUCACAGUGGCAUUGACUAAAAUACAGUUGAUUAGAAUACAGCAAAUACAUAUGAAAUGAGUAAAGCAGUAUGUGAACAUUAUUAAAGUUAUUAUCGAUCAUAGUCUGCUGCUGGAAAAACGUAUGUGUUAUGGCUUUACACCCUCUGCUAUAAUGUGGAUAAAGAGUUACUUGUCCAACAGAACACAAAGGGUGUUCUUUAAUGGAAGCCUCUCAAACAUAAUCUAGGUAGAAUCAGGAAUUCCCCAGGGUAGCUGUUUAGGCCCCUUAAUUUUUUCUAUCUUUACUAACGACAUGCCACUGGCUUUGAGUAAAGUGUGUCUAUGAAUGCAGACAGGGUUGGGUAGGUUACUUUCUUAAUGUAAUCCGUUACAGUUACUAGUUACUUGUCAAAAAAUGUAAUCGGCAACAUAAUUUUUGGAUUACCCAAACUCAGUAAUGUAAUCUGAUUACAUUCCGCUACUUUUAGAUUACUUUCCCCUGAAGAGGCAUUAGAAGAAGACAAAAAUGUAUGUUACCAAUUGAACAACAUCUAUUGCAUGAUAAAUCAACAUUAAAGUUUACAUAGCUGGCCAUAUGGAUGUAAAAUUUUACUUCAUGCGUUGGUUAUGUAGGCUUCUUCUAAUCUAACCCAUCGCUACUACAUAUAAUAAUACGAAUAAAAUAUAUCUUUACAUUAAAACCAAAGUCUAUCAGAAUUCCAGUCAUUCCAAUAAAUGUUCUACCCCUUGAUCUUGAAGAAUAGGACUUGGAAAUAUGGAAGUAUAGAUUAGCCAAAUUGUUUUACCUGAGCAUUAAUUAAUGCCGUAUGCUGCAUUUACUACAGGCCUAUUUUUGACCUUUUUGUUGGUGACACUUUGAUAUCUUGAUAAUAUGCAGCUGUUUAAAGGGCAAAUCCACAGAAGAAACAUUAACAAAACCGACGCCCCGCCUCUGUUUUGGUAAAAAGCUGAGGGAUGGGCUUGGAGAAAUGUAACCAGUCUCAGAUUAAUAGACAGAGCUAUGGAUGCAAGGACUGACAAUCCAUGAUAUGAAAAUCAUUGUUUUAACCAUGUUAUGAGGC